GACGAACGCUGGCGGCGUGCCUAAUACAUGCAAGUAGAACGCACAGUUUAUACCGUAGCUUGCUACACCAUAAACUGUGAGUUGCGAACGGGUGAGUAACGCGUAGGUAACCUGCCUGGUAGCGGGGGAUAACUAUUGGAAACGCUAGCUAAUACCGCAUAAUAUUGAUUAUUGCAUGAUAAUUGAUUGAAAGAUGCUAUUGCAUCACUACCAGAUGGACCUGCGUUGUAUUAGCUAGUAGGUGAGGUAACGGCUCACCUAGGCGACGAUACAUAGCCGACCUGAGAGGGUGAUCGGCCACACUGGGACUGAGACACGGCCCAGACUCCUACGGGAGGCAGCAGUAGGGAAUCUUCGGCAAUGGACGAAAGUCUGAACGAGCAACGCCGCGUGAGUGAAGAAGGUUUUCGGAUCGUAAAGCUCUGUUGUAAGAGAAGAACGGGUGUGAGAGUGGAAAGUUCACACUGUGACGGUAUCUUACCAGAAAGGGACGGCUAACUACGUG
rnacentral:rRNA from 1 species